rnacentral:rRNA from 1 species
GACGAACGCUGGCGGCGUGCUUAACACAUGCAAGUCGAACGGAAAGGCCCUGCUUUUGUGGGUUUCUCGAGUGGCGAACGGGUGAGUAACACGUGAGUAACCUGCCCUUGCCUUUGGGAUAACUUCCGGAAACUGGGGCUAAUACCUGAUAGGAGCUCCUGCUGCAUGGUGGGGGUUGGAAAGUUUCGGCGGUUGGGGAUGGACUCGCGGCUUAUCAGCUUGUUGGUGGGGUAGUGGCUUACCAAGGCUUGGACGGGUAGCCGGCCUGAGAGGGUGACCGGCAACAGUGGGACAGAGAUACGGCCCAGACUCCUAAGGGAGGCAGCAGUGGGGAAUAUUGCAUAAAGGGCGGAAGCCUGAUGCAGCAACGCCGCGUGAGGGAUGACGGACUUCGGGUUGUAAACCGCUUUCGCCUGUGACGAAGAGUGAGUGAAGGUAAUGGGUAAAGAAGCACCGGCUAACUACGUG